GACAGAGGGGGCCAGCGUUGUCCGGAAUGACUGGGCGUACAGCGCGCGCAGGCGGUCGUCGACGUGCCGUGUGACAGCAGCAGGCUCAACCUGCUGUGGCCACGGUAGACGCGGCGACUGGAGUGGGUGAGAGGGAUGUGGAAUACCCGGUGGAGCGGUGAAAUGCGUAGAGAUCGGGUGGAACACCAGUGGCGCAAGCGGCAUCCUGGCACCAAACUGACGCUGAGGCGCGAGAGCGUGGGGAGCAAACGGG
rnacentral:rRNA from 1 species